AGCUGGUUUAUCUUUGUUGAUGAUUUCAAACAUAGUAUUCAUCAACGGGAGUAAACCAGCUCU
rfam:Caenorhabditis brenneri strain PB2801 C_brenneri-6.0.1_Cont21.21, whole genome shotgun sequence.